UACGUAGGGGGCAAGCGUUGUCCGGACUUAUUGGGCGUAAAGAGCGUGUAGGCGGUUUGGUAGGUCCGCUGUGAAAACUCGAGGCUCAACCUCGAGACGCCGGUGGAAACCAUCAGACUAGAGUCCGGAAGAGGAGAGUGGAAUUCCUGGUGUAGCGGUGAAAUGCGCAGAUAUCAGGAAGAACACCCGUGGCUAAGGCGGCUCUCUAGUACGGUACUGACGCUGAGACGCGAAAGCGUGGGGAGCGAACAGG
rnacentral:rRNA from 1 species